AUCAUAUAUGGGUAAAAUAUGGGAAACCAUGUGACACAAAACUACAGGGGCUUUAAACUGCCAGCCAGUUGCAUAA
rnacentral:ncRNA from 1 species